rnacentral:rRNA from 1 species
AUGGACGAGGCGUGCCGUGCUUUUGACUCUCUUCGCUGCUGUGAAGUUGUGCUGUGGAACUUGUUGAUCGGAGGGCUUGCGAUGAACGGCCAUGCUGACCGUGCACUCGAGUUGUUCCAAAGGAUGCUCGGAAACGGUUUUCUGCCAAAUCAGCCAACGUUCGUUGCUGCUUUAUGCGCGUGCACCCACACUGGCCGUGCCGACCAAGGGAGGAGAAUUUUCCAGUCGAUGCGGCACCACAGGGUCGAGCCACAGACAGAGCACUAUGGGUGCCUAGCCGAUCUCCUUGGGCGUGCAAGUCGUGUUGAGGAGGCUGAUACCGUGUUGUUGGAUAUGCCAACGGAGCCACAUGCAUCCCAAUGGGGGUGCGCUCAUGUCGUCGUGCCGGAUGCAUAA